rnacentral:rRNA from 1 species
GACGAACGCUGGCGGCGUGCUUAACACAUGCAAGUCGAACGAAGUGGCGAACGGGUGAGUAACGCGUAAUCAACCUGCCCUUCAGAGGGGGACAACAGUUGGAAACGACUGCUAAUACCUCAUACCGUAGGAGGGGAUUGCGUCUGAUUAGCUAGUUGGAGGGGUAACGGCCCAACAAGGCGAUGAUCAGUAGCCGGUCGUGGGAGAGGAACGGCCACAACGGGACUGAGGCACGGCCCAGACUCCGACGGGAGGCAGCAGGGGGGAAACUGCCGCAAUGGACGAAAGACUGACGGAGCAACGCCGCGGGAGUGAUGAAGGCCUUCGGGUUGUAAAGCUCUGUUAAUCGGGACGCGGUACCGAAAUAGAAAGCCACGGCUAACUACGUGCCAGCAGCCGCGGUAAUAC